rnacentral:lncRNA from 1 species
AAUGACCAUGACUGCACUUUUGAUCAAUUUGUAGUACUUUACUGACACCAGAUGAAAAAAGGGGGGUCAAUAUUCCUUGACACUUCAAUACCUUGGAUUUUUUACUAAAUUCAUUGCAAAAAUUGUUGGAAGUCUUUAAAGAAGUAGAACAAACAAGAAAAAAAUCAGCAAACAAUGAUCUUGAUAUUGAAAGUUUAUGUUCCUGUAGCC